rnacentral:tRNA from 1 species
GGGCGUUUAGCUCAGUUGGCUAGAGCGCCGCUCUUACAAGGCGGAGGUCGCAGGUUCGAGGCCUGCAGCGCCCACCA